rnacentral:tRNA from 1 species
GUCUCGGUGGUCUAGCGGUUAGAACGCUGGCCUUGUAAUCCUGGGGUCUCGGGUUCGAUUCCCGGCGGUGCCC